rnacentral:lncRNA from 1 species
UUGCCCCAAUAACCCACCCUUGGGUUAGCCCCUUGGAAGUUGGUACAGGGAACUUGCUUGCCCUAUUUGUUGUGUCUCUUAAAUUCUGGUGGAGAACUAGAUAUUCUUGUCAAAAGUUCUCUUUCUAAGAAUAGGACUAAAUAGAAUUUCAAGAAUGUGUUAGAAAGACCAUGUUUUUUAUUCUAAAAUGUGAGAAAUGUCAAGAAAAGUACUAGAAAUACAACCGUAAAUUUAAAAUCUACAAAGCUACAAAUAUAUGAAAAAGCUAAAAAUCAGCCUUCAGGCUGUAGUUUGCUCCACAGUUCAAGUUAUGUCAGCUCAGGCGAAGCACUGGCCCAGGCAUUCAGGGCUAUAUGCUUCUCUUCCAGGUAGCUGACCAAUGCUCAGUAAAGGUAUGUGAUUUCCUCACCUGAUCUGGGUAGCAGGUACACCUCUUACAGGAUAGUGUUCCUCUCCCCCAUAAGGGGGAAUGACAGCAAAUGGUCAGGAAUGUGGUAGACCUUAUUUUCAAAGAAGCUUGAGAGCUGGGGAUGGAAGAGUUUUCCACUCUCUCUUGCUUUAGCCUUUUCAGUCAUGUUCUUUGGCUAGAACAGGGUGAAACUUUGUUGCAGAUGAUGUUAAGAGGUUGCUGGUGUUGCACAGGACUCCCUAAUUCUUUAACAUACUUAGAUGUCUCCUGACCUUUGUGAAUAUUGAGAAACCACCCUUUAUAAGGGCUUUAACAUUUCACAGCUUUUAUAAAUAGUUGCAAGAUGCUGAACUUAGGGGGAUACCAACAGCAGGAUGGGAAGCUGUGUGCCCGUGCUGUGCGCUGCUGCUGGAAAUGAGCCUCUAAUCCAAAUGGCUGUGACCUGGAUAUCAAAGAAAGAAAAUUAGAGGUUUGUUGCCAAGAAACUGGGUGUCCUUGGCAUCUAGCAAAGCAGAAACAGUUUUAAUUAUCUAAUUAAAGUGGGGCAUCCUGUUAUUUUAUGUCAUUUAGAAAGCCAGUUGUGAAUGUUGUCCUGUUUUUCUCUUAGUACUCAGUAGAAAGGGUCCCUGACAUGCACAGAUAGCUGUGAUGAGUCUACAUAUCAAAACAAAUAUGUUAACAAAAGCACCAGGGUGGUGACCACUGACUUUGUGCACAUAUUGUUAGUUCUGUGUAGGUUUUGCUUCAUAAUUUUUGCAAGUUGCAAGUAAUCAAAACCUGUUCUGUAGGACACUAGUGUUUGGAAACUUAUUUUUUUCAGUGCUCUACUUUGUCCUACAUUUUAGUUCUUUGGGGUGGUUUUCAUUGACUUUGAAAUCUAACUUGGCAAAGUUUAAUGGCACUCACUGUUGUGCUUGUUUCUCUUCUGGUGUGCUUUUCCUUUGAUAUGCUCUGAUAAAUAUUUGCUGUGGGACAGAUUUCAAUCUCAGUUAUGUCACUAUAAAUGAAAAGCAAAAAGCAUGGUCACUGAAGUCUGUGAUUAUGCUAAAGGAAGUGAAAUCAGUCAUGGGCUCUCCUGUCCAAAGUCAGUAGCUCUGUACUGAAACAGCCUUUGCUAAUGACGGAGAGAAGAGAGAGGACAGGGAGUCUGCUGCAGGGAGUCACUGCCUCAAACAGGACUCUGGUCUCUGGCAGUUUCAGGUUAAAGAUGAUGCCCAGGGAAAUGGUUAAAUAUGCAUACUGGGAAAUAAAUAAUGUCAAAUGAUUCACAUGAAAGAAUCUUAAGAGCACACAGGGUGAGCAAAGAGUCAUUUUGUUUUAGACGUGUAAACCACAAAGGAUGGGAAUUUCAUUUUCCUUUCCACUGCACUCCUUACACUUGGUUUACUGGGGGCAUGUAGAUGCCCUGCAACCUCUGUGUAAUUGAGUUUUGCCAGACCUGGUCACAUGUGCUAUAAUUUCAAUUAUUUUUCUAAAUUCACAUUUUUUAAAUUCUUGCCUUUUGGCCUUUAAAAUUCUCCUUGCCUGGAAUGAGGCUGUUUUCUUGUUGUUCCUCCCUAAGUUCUUUUCCGCUGAGAGAGGAUGGGUUACGAUGCGGUCUGCGUGGGCUUUAGCCCUCCAGCCCUGCACUUUUGACCCUUUCCUGCUAGGGCUUUACUACAACUUAAGCUAUGUAAAUGCACAGUAGCAUGCAGCUUAUUAAAUACUCAGCCUCUUCCAGACUUAAUGGCUCUGCCGGGUCCUGCCUGCUUAGCAGCAUAGCAGGAUGUGUGCUUAGCAACCCGGCUGCCGUGAGUGCAUCGCCCCCAUGCCCUGCCUUCUCCGCUGCCUCACCACUGAACACAGCAAAUAUUUCCAGCUUUUUCUGGAACAAAACCUUGCCUAGGUUCAGGCAUAACUACCACCUGCCAGCCACAGCCUGUGUAUUUUUACAGCAUCAUGAGGGCUGACUAUGACAGGAGACAAAACCCUAGGCUGUUAGAGGUGCUCGACCCACUUCUGCAAGUAGUAAUGGCUGUAAAACAAAUAUACAUACCAGUAAAUGUACACCUGAUGGUUUUAGCACUUGCUUUUCCUUAGAAAUGCCAAAAUUUUAAAAACUCAUUGUUUCAUUCUGAGAUCCUCAGACACAAGUAUAGCUCAGCUAAGCCUCCAGUAAGAUGAUCACUCAGAAAUUACUAUAUUGGGAGAACUGAGUUGUACGUUUUCAAGUAUUUUAAUCCAGGAGAAAUCACAACUAUUUCCUAGUCUUAAUGCCUAAAUAAACAGGCUGUAGGUCCUUCUCUCUGUUAUUUCUGCAUUAAGCAAAUAACUUCUGUUGAGGUGUGGUCUACUGUGGCCAUGGUCAGAAUGAAAAUGAGGAUGCUCUCUGGGAGAAGACAUCUGCAAAAGGAGGGGGGAAAUGAUGGUAUGAUGCCAGAUGCCACUGUACCUUCUGGACUGCCACCAGGCUGUGCUUCUACCUUCGAUGGGGCAAGGGCAUCCGCUAGAAAACAGACUUGAAUUUUCAAAUCCAAAGAUACUUGGUAUUUUCUCAGAGACAAACCUCCAGAAGUACUGCAUGCAAUGGUAACAUUUAUAUAACAAUUCAAAGUAUACAGAAGCACAGCAAUCUGCAAAGCAAUUCAGUGGAGUUUAUUAUAUUUGAACUGUUUUAUCUCUAGCGAGCAUGCAGAGAGAUUAAGCAACUACUCUGGAGCUACCAAAUGCAUCUGAGGUAGGGCCAAGAUUAGAAUAUUGAUUUCUGGCUUCCUGAGUCCCAGGCUCAGUUCACUACAUUAUGUUGUCUUUACAGAUAACAUUUAGACAAAUAGAUCUUGACAUAUCAGAAGCUCAGUAGCCUCUCAGUAAAUUGAGCAGGGCUUUAGUUGUUCAGUUCCUGUGAUCUGUGCAUGCCUCACACUUGGUCCCAGUAAUGUCAGUAGCUAUUGUAUAUUUACAGUGAAGCCCACUUGUAUCCUGAGGCAUACUAGACUUUUUUUUCUCAGAGUAGGAAUAAACUUAAUUAUGAUACAUUUUCCUCAGAUUGAGAUUUACACAAUGUCAGAUUGAGAUUUCCACAAAGAAAAAAAAAUUCAAAGAAAUGUUGCUUCACUCCUCUUUACAAAAAUCCCCAUAUUUGUUGAGACUUUCAGUCCUGACCAGGGGUAGCUUGUCACUCUUUCUAAUUUCUUGUGUAAAAGUCAGAAAAAUGGAAAAAGUUCUACAUACCCAAAGUUCAAAUCCAAGUACUUUUGAAAUCACCACAUACCAAGCAUAUUCAGUUCCUGAUAUACAAUUGCCAAAGAAAAGGCAACUAUGUACUUGAAAGCUGAAAUACAUUCUACAAAGAGAAUAACACAGGUAUAUUGGUAUUAGAAAAUUUCUGGAUAUCCACAGAGGUGUAAGAAUAUUGCCAUCAGUACAGCCCUGGAAAACUUCCAAACUACACCUGAGCUUGCUGAGGUGUAGCCCACAACCUUUUUUUUUCCAUUUCCAAACUCCAGGUAUCCCAUCUGCAGCUAACAAAGGACGCUGCUUACUCUCACAAAGCCUACUUGAAGUUUGACAGUCCUACAAAACCUGUACUGGUGUUUCAAACACAUCAAGCUGUCUAACAGUCUUCUCCACCCCUCUUUGUUACUUGAUGCAGCAGCACAAUGUCAUUUGUCAGAGCACCAAAACUGAAGACAUGCUGAAUAUGUGAAUACCAAGGAAGUGGUUUCCUUAGCAAUAACAGGCAUGUGAAAGUCAAAACUUCCUUUCCUCCUCGUGUGACCUUUUUCAAAGCAAUUCAGCCUGGGGACAAUGGGAGUGAAUUCCAAACACCCGCAGUGUUCCUGCAUGGUUCGGCAAGGGUCGCUAAAUGGCAAAUUUAUCUUAUGUAUUUAUGAAGGUAAAAUUAUAUUUCUCUUUAGACAUUCUUCUCUAGGGAUUCUGCGUGGUUUUGUACAGGAAGGUGCUUCUUGAAAGCAGAAUUACCUAAUGCCACCUAAACAAAUAUAUAGAAUGCAAGUAAUUUUCUUGCCAUUGUGGAACAAAAUUUUGUUGUGCAUAAAAUGCAAAGUCCUUUUAGUUGUCAGGAAAUAAGAGCAUGGAACUUCUACCUGGCUUAUUUUGAUAGCUGGACUUCUCUGAUGACAUCUUGUCCAUUUCAUUUAAGGUGAAAAUCAAGACUCCUAAGGAAAAAAGAGAAAGGGAGAUGAUUUAUGAAGGCAAAUAAGAGGAAGAUGACAUUAAUUUCACCCAUCCUGCACACAAGAGCAGUAUCUCUGUUGCUGUUCUUAUCGUAUUUAGCACAGCCUUUUCUCAUGCCUAAGGAGACAGCAGUGAUAGCCAGAGUGCUUGCACAAAACUGCCUGUCCAAGAAUCAUGAGGUAUUUUCUAAAAGUAGCUACUAAAUUCAAACCUGAUCUGUCUACUGAGUUAGGGAACUAUUCUCUCAUUUUUUUGAGCUGCAGAGGUGACAUGGCAGGUAGUUGUCAGAAGAAAAUUCUUGUUGGAGCUGGAAGUGGUCACUCAGCAUACUUUCUGUAUUAUAAUGUGUGACAGCCUAUCCUGGAGUUCAGAAAGUCAAGGGCAGUUCUGGUAUUAGAGUUCUCCCCAGAUUCAGUAUUGCUGGACCACCCAUACACAUCCUGUUGUCUUGCUGCCCACUGAUGGGGUCUGUAUUCAAGUCCCUGGUGAUUCACAGACAAGGAUUUAGGCCUCAAGGACUACUGACUCUCACCUCACUUUUAGUCACGAAUGCCGUGGUUUGCUUGGGUUUUCUCCACCACUUUCAGCCUUUGGUUUUCAACUCUAGAGCAUAAGUUUUCGGAAAUGAACAAUGCAAUGUGAGUAGCUGAGUUUGGAGCUGGUCCCAUCAGGCAGGAGAAGUAAUUUGACAGGAGACAGUUCCUCUGCAGCUUUCUGUGAAUCUGAGAAAGAUGUGCUGUGGAUUUAGAGCCUUAAUGUCUGAAGGAAAACAGGCAAGCCAUCUGCUCCCACAGGUGCUGGCACAUCGGUGCUUUGUUCUGGUUCCUCCAAGGCAAAAUGUAUUGUCUAGCCAAGUAUUCAUGUCCAACAGAGUGUGUAAGUACCUGUGGUGAGUUGUUGUAUGAAAUCCCAAUCCACCCUUGGCAAAAUAUCAUACCAAACGUGCUUAUGUUUAAUGCCAGGAGCUAUUCAACCGCUCUGCAAUAUUCCUGUGGUUUCUGAAGGUGGACUGUUAUGAGGAUUCUUGAGGAAGGACGCAAGUGCACUCUUCUCUGUACAUAGCAGGAGCCUCUGUCACUGAUUCAGUGCCCAAGGGGGUGACAUUCAAAGCAAUUUUUGAUGACAACCUCAUAGCCAAAGGCAGACAAGAUCAGAAACAGGGGCAGCUGAAGCAAAACAAACACAACUGUGGUGAACAACUGCAAUGAGCCUUUCUGGAUAUAGGACACCUGUUCCACACAGGGAACAAAGAGCAGAAAACCAGGCCUGUGCUUCCCAUGGGGAAGCAAGUGAGCAGCAGCUGGGUCAUGGCUCCAAUGGCACCAUGGAGGUGGUUCAGCAUAGAGGUGGGCUUUCUGCCAUCAGUAGGCUUAGCAAGUGAUGCUAUAAGCCCAAAGUACCACAUUACUCAGGCUGUGUGAAGUCGGUGCAGACUUGGAAUAGCAGUGGUGGUGAAACCAAAGAUAACUGACUGCUCCCAGACAGUGCCUUGACGUAAGAAAGGAGUAGUCAGAAAAAGGCUCCUGCAUUUUUUUUCUGGUGUGGCAGAAAAGGAUCAGAAAAAGGUGUAAGAGAAGUCCAGAAGAUGCUCUCUAGCAGAGGAAAGGUAGCACAAGGUGGCCCACAAGUACCCCUCCAAUAGUAAUUACAUAGCUGUGGACAUUCUCAGUUCAGUCAGAGAGAAAAGUGACUGAAGAGAGAAGGUUUCUAACCAGGCAGAAGUCUGGGAAACAGUUGAGAAAGAAUGUAAAUAAUUCUUUAUCUCUCUUGUUGUUCACAUUGUUUAUAGAUAAGUUCUUCCACUGUGUGUCAUUUACUGCACACCCAAUGGCAUGAGCUGUUUUUACUCUACAACCAAUAGAAUGGGUCUAGACGAUACUCUCUAUAAAAGAGAGAUAUAUUUGAAAUAAAUCAGAGUUCCACUCUCAGACCUUCUGAUGUGGAGUCAUUUCACACCAUCCUGCCUCAACAGUGUCACAUAGGCAGGGUGAAAGUUGAGCUAGGUAGUACCUUGGUGCCACAGUAUACCCAGUAAACUACUUCACUGAGCUGCUGAUUUUGUUACAUGUUACUGCCAAAAUGAGUAAUUCAGGUUUUACUCAACUGUCUCCAUGUUGGUGCUCUGCAUGCAGUGCUUUCCAAUCUGCUGUCACCUUGGCCAGGGGUUAAGGACUGUUGCUGUCUCUGUGAAACUGGAAAGGCACAAUGAGAUUCUGGGAUGAAGGUGGGCACAGUGAGGUUGUGGUGGGCACAGGGUUCCUGGGAGCCCUGAGAGAACAGGGUGCUCAGGAAGGGUGCUCCCCUCCCAGCAGAGUCACAGCAGAGCAGAGGUUCCUCCAGCCUCCAGCCUGCUCAACACUGGAGGAUGUCUCUCUGGCCAGGCUGGGUGCUUAGAGAAGUGCAGAUCAACAACGGGAAAAAGCAGCUUUGGCCAACACUUCACCUCCCUCAGACAGCACCAGCCCACCACUAUCCUUGUGUCUUGCUGGCAGCACCUGAAGAAGUCAAAUGAAAUUCAAAGGCUAGAAGUCUGCCAGUGGGGAAGCAGCACUGUGCAUUAACCACCGUGAAUUA